UGCAGGUCAUACAAAACUAGAACCACUAGU
rnacentral:piRNA from 2 species